AUAGGGUCAAGCGACUAAGUGCAUCUGGUGGAUGCCUUGGCGAUCACAGGCGAUGAAGGACGUGUAAGCCUGCGAAAAGCGCGGGGGAGCUGGCAAUAGAGCUUUGAUCCCGCGAUGUCCGAAUGGGGAAACCCACCGCUUAGGCGGUAUCCCUGACUGAAUACAUAGGUCAGAGGAGGCGAACCGAGUGAACUGAAACAUCUAAGUAACUCGAGGAAAAGAAAUCAACCGAGAUUCCGUAAGUAGUGGCGAGCGAACGCGGAACAGCCUGUAUGUGAUAGAGAUUGCGUUAGUGGAAGGUUCAUGGAAAGGACCGCCGUAGUGGGUGAUAGCCC
rnacentral:rRNA from 2 species